rnacentral:rRNA from 1 species
UGAGGAACAUGACCUUCGGCGGGGGAUAGCCGGCCCAACGGCCGGGUAAUACCGCGUACGACCAUUCGGGGACAUCCCUAGGUGGUGAAAGCAGCAAUGCGCCGAUGGAGUGCCUCGCGGCCUAUCAGCUAGUUGGUGAGGUAACGCUCACCAAGGCGACGACGGGUANCUGGUCUGAGAGGAUGGCCAGCCACAGUUGGGACUGAGACACGGCCCAGACCUCCCGUACGGGAGCCAG